rnacentral:rRNA from 1 species
UACGGAGGGUGCAAGCGUUAUCCGGAUUUACUGGGCUUAAAGGGUGCGCAGGCGGAUAUGUAAGUCAGUGGUGAAAUCUCCAGGCUUAACCUGGAAAUUGCCGUUGAUACUAUAUAUCUUGAAUGCUGUGGAGGUAAGCGGAAUAUGUCAUGUAGCGGUGAAAUGCUUAGAUAUGACAUAGAACACCUAUUGCGAAGGCAGCUUACUACGCAGAUAUUGACGCUCAUGCACGAAAGCGUGGGGAGCAAACAGG